GCAAACUUGGUCAUUUAGAGGAAGUAAAAGUCGUAACAAGGUCUCCGUAGGUGAACCUGCGGAGGGAUCAUUACCGAGUUCGUGCCCCUUGCGGGGUAGAUCUCCCACCCUGUGUUAUCGUUACCUUUGUUGCUUUGGCGGGCCGCCCAGGCCCUACAGCCAGGCUACCGGCUCUGGCUGGUACGCGCCCGCCAGAGGACCCUAAACUCAUGAAUAUCAGUGUUGUCUGAGUCCUAUGCACAAUAGUUAAAAACUUUCAACAACGGAUCUCUUGGUUCUGGCAUCGAUGAAGAACGCAGC
rnacentral:misc_RNA from 1 species